rnacentral:lncRNA from 1 species
GUGGGGCCGGGCGGUGCCUUCCUCGGGGCUGGCUGACAGAGCGGGGCCCGGCCGCUGGGCGGAGGCAGGUGGGCGGGAGGGGGUUCGAGGCGUGCCGCUCGGUGGAGGGAAAGGCUGCCGGUGUCGGCAGAGGCUGGAAGCCGUGAGGGGCGUCUGGGGAGCUGCCCAGCGAGCGCGCUCCUCAGGGAGGCAGGAGGUGGUGGUGCUUCUAAUUAACGCCCCUGUGGUCCUGGGUUGCACUGAGUGAAACUCCGCUGUUGUGGCUCCCUUUACCACAGGAAGAAGCACACUGUGUUUAUGCAGUUACAGCACUGUUUUGGCUACCCUCCUGUAGAGCAUAAUCUUAAGCUCCAAGAAAAAAUGAUGACACUGCUAGAAAACAUCACAGAUAGUCUUAUAAAGCAGAAUGGGAAACAUAAGGCCAGCAAUAUUGUAAUAGAAGAAUUCAAGUCUCACACGAGGUAGGUAUGUAAUGGAAAAAUUGAUUUCCGCUGCAGUUCUGUUCAAUUGUCUUCAGCUUGUUUAAAAAAAAAAAAAAAGCUGGUGGCAAAAAUGGUGCUGAUUGUAGAACAUGAAAGAACUUACUUAUGCAGCUGGCUAAAACUCACCGUGGUGCAACCUGCCUGGAAAAUGACAUUUAAAGACUUGCCCACGUGGAAGGUGUUGCAUAUCUAUGCUUCUUUCUACAUGUCAGUUAAUUGUUUGUUGAGUUAGGUGUAGGCAUGGGACUUCCAAAAGUGUUAUUUUUAAACUAAUUAUUUAGAGUCCUUCAUUAAACCAGAUCAGAAAACACAAUUUUAAAGGCUGAAUGUUUCUAUUAGACUAGUCAUAAAGCAAACUUUUAUUCUCUGGCAUGAGUCACAAUUAACUGUGUUAGUUGCUUCAUAAUACGUUAUCCAAAUAGCGUGGUUGCAAUAAGCAAGGCUUAAUCAUGUCUGUCUUCCCGUUUGGUGUCAGUAUGUUCUAUGCUGUUUUGUCCUUACCACCCCAGCAUAUAACACUUCCACAUACUUGAGGAUUUAAUUGGAAAGUGGAACUUGUGAGUGCCUGCCAUUCUUAAAACU